AUUGAACGCUGGCGGCAGGCCUAACACAUGCAAGUCGACCGAGUGGCGGACGGGUGAGUAAUGUCUGGGGACCUGCCCGAUGGUGGGGGAUAACUACUGGAAACGGUGGCUAAUACCGCAUACUAUCGGAUGUGCCCAUAUGGGAUUAGCUAGUAGGUGGGGUAAAGGCUCACCUAGGCGACGAUCGCUCGCUGGUCUGAGAGGAUGAUUAGCCACACUGGGACGGAGAGAGGGCCGAGAGUCCUACGUGAGGCAGCAGUGUGGAAUAUAGCACAAUGGGCGCAAGCCUGAUGCAGCCAGGCCGCGUGUAUGAAGAACGCCUUGGGGUUGUAAAGUACUUUCAGCGGGGAGGCGUUACCCGCAGAAGAAGCUCCGGCUAACUCCGUGCCAGCAGCCGCGGUAAUUC
rnacentral:rRNA from 1 species